UACGUAGGGGGCAAGCGUUGUCCGGAAUCAUUGGGCGUAAAGAGCGUGUAGGCGGCCCGGUAAGUCCGCCGUGAAAGUCCAGGGCUCAACCCUGGGAUGCCGGUGGAUACUGUCGGGCUCGAGUCCGGAAGAGGAGUGUGGAAUUCCUGGUGUAGCGGUGAAAUGCGCAGAUAUCAGGAGGAACACCAAUGGCGAAGGCAGCACUCUGGGACGUGACUGACGCUGAGACGCGAAAGCGUGGGGAGCAAACAGG
rnacentral:rRNA from 1 species